UGCGNAUGGGCUAACGCCUGACGCAGCANUNCCGCGUGGAGNAUGAAGGUCUUUGGAUUGUCAACUCCUGUCAGCAGGGAAAAAGCGAAUUGGCCUAACACGCCAGUGAGUUGAUUGUACCUGCAGAGGAAGCCCCGGCUAACUCUGUGCCAGCAGCCGCGGUAAUACAGAGGGGGCAAGCGUUAUUCGGAAUUAUUGGGCGUAAAGGGCGCGUAGGCGGCUUGGCAAGUGGAUGGUGAAAUCCCUCGGCUUANCCGAGGAACUGCCGUCCAAACUGCUUAGCUUGAGACCAGGAGAGGUGAGUGGAAUUCCCAGUGUAGCGGUGAAAUGCGUAGAUAUUGGGAGGAACACCAGUGGCGAAGGCGGCUCACUGGACUGGUACUGACGCUGAUGCGCGAAAGCGUGGGGAGCAAACGGGAUUAGAUACACCGGUAGUCCACGCUGUAAACGAUGAGUGCUUGGUGUAGCGGGUAUCGACCCCUGCUGUGCCGAAGUCAACACAUUAAGCACUCCGCCUGGGGAGUACGGUCGCCAAGGCUGAAACUCAAAAAAAUUGACGG
rnacentral:rRNA from 1 species